AAUGCACUUUCAAAUUGACAUCUUUACAUAAAACGCAAUUGAGACAUUUGAAUGACUGAGGAGUCUUUGCCUUCGAUUCGCCUCUUUCAAUAAAAUGCAAGUGUCCUGCAGUUUCAUAAUGUGUAUCCACUUGAAUUUGAUAAUGGCAGGUUGUAUUUAAGUUGGAGGCAAGAGCCAGUUUUGAUCAGACUUUGCCGAACGAAAAAUAAAGAUAAAUUACAGCAUAUUCUGAUUGAGCAGUAUGCUGCCGAGAAGAAAUUAUUCAAAUCUUCAAGAGCGGCAUAUUUUUCACUUGUAAGGCAGCUAUCUUCUUGGAUCCAGAUACAAAUUCGAACGACUCCAGUUAUUUUUGGAUGAUGGGAAGGAAGAUAUCAAAUGAACUAGGCAAAUCAAUUUCAUUUCAUACUUCACAUGUUGAUGCCAUUUCUCUAAAUAAAUGCGUGCAGGGCCACUUCCACCUCAGUUCCAUGGAUAUCUUCGAGGGGUAGAAACUGAUCUGGAUGUGAAGGAAAAUAUUUUUUGAAUGAUUAGCACUUUGAUGCCAUAAUUCAAAGGAAUGGCUUCAAGAUUUGACCAUGACCGAAACUAUAAGCUUGAAUAAGUAUGAAGUUAUUAAAAAGUUAAGCACUCAAGUAAAUUACAUAUGGAGAUCCAUAAAGAUCCAAGUAUGGAUGAUUUGUCAAAUUUGUGACAUUAUACCAACUUCAACAUAUGUUAUUAAAGUGCUUUGAUACAAACCAACUAUAUAUAGAUAGAAAUGUCUCAGUAAAGCGAAAAUGCGAUACUUCAUGCAAUCAGAAUUAUUUUUGGAAGACGAAGCGGGGCAUCUUUAAAAGUUUUGCUAAAAGGAUCACUGAUAUUGAAUAUCAUUUGGCUUUAACAGGGUCAGAAGUUAAAACCCAAUAUCGUCAUAGCGCGCUAAAAAUAGACUUAGUAGAAAGUAACCCAAGAGUAACAAAAAUAGUUGCGCUACAGGCUGUUGAAAAUAUUGUGAGGAAAGAAGAUAAAAUAAACUAGAAAUGUAUCGCAUGAAGAAUUUCUCUGAAAAACUA